UACGUAGGGCGCAAGCGUUAUCCGGAGUUACUGGGCGUAAAGGGCGUGUAGGCGGAGAUGUAAGUCUAUUCUGAAAGCUCCUGGCUAAACUGGGAGAGGCGAAUGGAGACUGCAUAUCUAGAGUGAGGAAGAGGAAAGUGGAAUUCCGCGUGUAGUGGUGAAAUGCGUAGAGAUGCGGAGGAACACCAGUGGCGAAGGCGGCGGCCUGGGUCCAGACUGACACUGAGGUGCGAAAGCGUGGGGAGCAAACAGG
rnacentral:rRNA from 1 species